AGAGUAAGUAUAAAUGUAUAUCAUGUAUUAAGAAAACCUGAUGUGUAAAAUACAAAUUUACAGAGUGAAGUAGUAAUAAGCGCUUAUAAAAUACUUGUU